UCACUUCCACUGGGCCUUUACUCAAGCGUCACCUCCUCAGUGAAGCGCUCAACCACCCUUUUUAAAACCACAAGCCCUCCCUACUGCUCUGUCUCGCAUCUUUUUCUUUUCCGUAGCCCCACGGAUUAGCGUGCUAUAUGGUGUAUUUACUAUCCGCACGAAGACAGGGAGCAACCGCACGUGUUCCACAGCCCUGGCUUCUCCAGGAAGUGGAGUUCAUUCUUCCUCAACGACUAAUUUAGCACCUGCUGUGUACCGGCACUGUGUGGCGAGGAGCGAGGCAGGCUGGGCGUUCCUGAGACUCACGGUCUGGGGGAAGCAGGUGUCAACGGAGUUCUCUCCAGCAGCAGGGUAUCUGGACGCGUGCGGAGGCGAGUGGGGUCAGCGCAAAGACUGGGGCUGUAGGCGAGUUGGGGGCUGGAGUGUGCCACAGCCUGGUAAUGGGUUAAAGUCAAGGAGGUGAGGAGUUUUCUGCAAGCAAUGAAGAACAAGGGUGCCGCUCCAAGAGCUAAGAGUGCCUCCACAUUGAGAAAUGCAGCUCACAGGUUUUCCUCCACAUUACAUUUAAUGAAUGUGUACCACGUGCCCAGAGAUACAAGCAGGGGGAAAAAAAAAAAAAGAUAAGGUCCAUGUAUGAUCUGAUCAGCAGAGAAUAUUGCCAUAUGGAAUGAUAAUCGUCCUAACGAAGGGAGAUACAGGGAACACAGCCACGUCCGUUUAUGGAGGUAUUAUGCACGGCCACACUGGCAGACGACAAGAGUUGGGGCAGAUGCUGGAUGG